UUCCGGUUGAUCCUGCCAGAGGUCACUGCUAUCGGNGUUCGAUUAAGCCAUGCGAGUCGAGAGGGUUCGGCCCUCGGCGUACUGCUCAGUAACACGUGGAUAACCUGCCCUAGGGGAGGGGAUAACCCCGGGAAACUGGGGAUAAUACCCUAUAGGUUACAGAUGCUGGAAUGCCCUGUAACCAAAAGCUCCGGCGCCCUAGGAUGGAUCUGCGGCCGAUUAGGUUGUUGUUGGGGUAACGGCCCAACAAGCCCGUAAUCGGUACGGGUUGUGGGAGCAAGAGCCCGGAGUUGGAUUCUGAGACACGAAUCCAGGCCCUACGGGGCGCAGCAGGCGCGAAACCUUUACAAUGCGGGCAACCGUGAUAAGGGAACCUCGAGUGCCUGUAAACGCAGGCUGUUCAGGUGUUUAAAACGCACCUGGAGAAAGGGCCGGGCAAGACCGGUGCCAGCCGCCGCGGUAAUACCGGCGGCUCGAGUGGUGGNCGCUUUUAUUGGGCUUAAAGCGUUCGUAGCUGGGUUGUUAAGUCUCUUGGGAAAUCUGGCGGCUUAACCGUCAGGCGUCUAAAGGGAUACUGGCAAUCUUGGAACCGGGAGAGGUGAGGGGUACUUCGGGGGUAGGGUGAAAUCCUGUAAUCCUCGAGGACNCCUGUGGCG
rnacentral:rRNA from 1 species